UAGCUCAGUUGGUUAGAGCGUGGUGCUCAUAACACCAAGGUCGAGGGUUCAAUCCCCGU
rnacentral:tRNA from 1 species